UACGUAGGGGGCAAGCGUUGUCCGGAAUCAUUGGGCGUAAAGAGCGUGUAGGCGGUCCGGUAAGUCGGCUGUGAAAGUCCAGGGCUCAACCCUGGGAUGCCGGUCGAUACUGCCGGACUAGAGUUCGGAAGAGGCGAGUGGAAUUCCCCGGUGUAGCGGUGAAAUGCGCAGAUAUCGGGGAGGAACACCUAUGGCGAAGGCAGCUCGCUGGGACGUUACUGACG
rnacentral:rRNA from 1 species